UUCAUAGCAAAUUGACCAGCAGGUGUUCAGUGUCUGGCCUCGCGCCCAGAGAGGAGGAUGCAUCCACUGCGUGGAGUAACGGCUAGCGAGCAUCUGCGUGUUUAGGCUAAGGAUGGAUGCAGCGCUAGCUUGCGGAGUCACGUCGCGCUCUGCCAUGUUGAAAGGUCAAGGCCUAGCUUAUCUCCGCAGCUCAGGUUAAAUAAAUAUCUGCAGACCAAGGCUGUGAGGCUGGAGAAGACCACACUUACAGUAAAUAUAUUUUUUCCUACCUCUGC